GCGCGGUCCCCGGCCGGCCGGCGCGGAGACGCGAGCUCUGGGGAAGCGCCGCGAGUGCUCCAGGGUUUUACGUUUACAUAACAGACGUUGCCUGUGUGUGGCAGCGCGCGUCGGAAGAGUUCGCAUUCACACAAUAACGUUUCCUGUGUGUGAUGGAUGCUACCCUAACGGCGUGGACGAUUUCACCUCUGUAUGUCACGGACACUGAGUGUUUAUUGCACUGCCUGUCUCAGGGAUCCACCUCACCAGAUUCUGCUUGUUGUUCUUUUAACCACCAUGCUGCAGACUGGAUGAGAAAGGGAGCUGAUUGACAGGCUUCCAGCAGAUGAGUGGGGCUGCUCAAAGAUGAGGAAGCUUCAAGGAUCAGAGUUGGUGACGCACAAAGGAGCCCAGAAUAACAGGUAUGAACCCUUCAUGCUCAAUCUGAAGCCAGGAACCUGGGCAACAGGCCCAGUUGGAACCAAGAAGGUCAUCUAAGCAAAAGCAGUCCCUAGAGAAGACCGGCACAGUCUGGCUUCCAGGAGCUGGUGGCUCCAGAAGGCAAGAGAGAAAACAGACAGCAGCUUGUGUGUACCUGCUGACUCUGAUUGGUCUCCUGAUGCCAGCUUUGCCUCCCUGAGUGCUUCAGAUUUAAAGAACUACUCAGAAAAUAACUAAAACAAAAUUAGUAAAAAAUGAACAAGAGAAUUAAAUGA
rnacentral:lncRNA from 1 species